UGCUUAUUCAAUAAGCGGAGGAAAAGAAACCAACCGGGAUUGCCUUAGUAACGGCGAGUGAGCGGCAAAAGCUCAAAUUUGAAAUCUGGUACCUUCGGUGCCCGAGUUGUAAUUUGGAGAGGGCAACUUUGGGGCCGUUCCUUGUCUAUGUUCCUUGGAACAGGACGUCAUAGAGGGUGAGAAUCCCGUGUGGCGAGGAGUGCGGUUCUUUGUAAAGUGCCUUCGAAGAGUCGAGUUGUUUGGGAAUGCAGCUCUAAGUGGGUGGUAAAUUCCAUCUAAAGCUAAAUAUUGGCGAGAGACCGAUAGCGAACAAGUACAGUGAUGGAAAGAUGAAAAGAACUUUGAAAAGAGAGUGAAAAAGUACGUGAAAUUGUUGAAAGGGAAGGGCAUUUGAUCAGACAUGGUGUUUUGUGCCCUCUGCUCCUUGUGGGUAGGGGAAUCUCGCAUUUCACUGGGCCAGCAUCAGUUUUGGUGGCAGGAUAAAUCCAUAGGAAUGUAGCUUGCCUCGGUAAGUAUUAUAGCCUGUGGGAAUACUGCCAGCUGGGACUGAGGACUGCGACGUAAGUCAAGGAUGCUGGCAUAAUGGUUAUAUGCCGCCCGUCUUGAAACCACGAACCA
rnacentral:rRNA from 1 species